GAAUUGAGUUAUAUAUUGUAUUUUUUGUUCUGUUUAUUGAAUAAUAUCCUAGUUCCUGCUUUGGAAACUGUAAAAAUACUGAUGUCAAGUAUUAAUAAAGUUGUUUAUUCGUCAAGAAGCAUGUGCAGAAUCCAAUUAACGAAAAAGCUGCAAUAAAAGUCAUCUUCCCUGCAUCAACUGGAGUAUCUGCAUCAGCGUACACCGCUUUAAGGACUAUCGGAAGAAAGUUGACUAGGCAUUUUCCCGGUACAUCUGAAAGCCAGAAGAAGGCUGGCAGAGUAGCUGCUAGUCUGUAAUAUUUCCAGGUCAUUUUUGUGCAAAUAAAUAAUGUUAUUGACUCUUU